rnacentral:rRNA from 1 species
AGUGAACGCUGGCGGUAGGCCUAACACAUGCCAGUCGAACGGCAGCACAGUAAGAGCUUGCUCUUACGGGUGGCGAGUGGCGGACGGGUGAGGAAUACAUCGGAAUCUACUUUUUCGUGGGGGAUAACGUAGGGAAACUUACGCUAAUACCGCAUACGACCUACGGGUGAAAGCAGGGGAUCUUCGGACCUUGCGCGAUUGAAUGAGCCGAUGUCGGAUUAGCUAGUUGGCGGGGUAAAGGCCCACCAAGGCGACGAUCCGUAGCUGGUCUGAGAGGAUGAUCAGCCACACUGGAACUGAGACACGGUCCAGACUCCUACGGGAGGCAGCAGUGGGGAAUAUUGGACAAUGGGUGCAAGCCUGAUCCAGCCAUACCGCGUGGGUGAAGAAGGCCUUCGGGUUGUAAAGCCCUUUUGUUGGGAAAGAAAAGCAGCAGGUUAAUACCCCGCUGUUCUGACGGUACCCAAAGAAUAAGCACCGGCUAACUUCGUG